rnacentral:rRNA from 1 species
UCAGGAUGAACGCUAGCUACAGGCUUAACACAUGCAAGUCGAGGGGCAUCAGUUUGGUUUGCUUGCAAACCAAAGCUGGCGACCGGCGCACGGGUGAGUAACACGUAUCCAACCUGCCUCAUACUCGGGGAUAGCCUUUCGAAAGAAAGAUUAAUAUCCGAUAGCAUAUAUUUCCCGCAUGGGUUUUAUAUUAAAGAAAUUCGGUAUGAGAUGGGGAUGCGUUCCAUUAGCUUGUUGGCGGGGUAACGGCCCACCAAGACUACGAUGGAUAGGGGUUCUGAGAGGAAGGUCCCCCACAUUGGAACUGAGACACGGUCCAAACUCCUACGGGAGGCAGCAGUGAGGAAUAUUGGUCAAUGGACGCGAGUCUGAACCAGCCAAGUAGCGUGAAGGAUGACUGCCCUAUGGGUUGUAAACUUCUUUUAUAUGGGAAUAAAGUGGUCCACGUGUGGAUUUUUGUAUGUACCAUAUGAAUAAGGAUCGGCUAACUCCGUGCCAGCAGCCGCGGUAAUACGGAGGAUCCGAGCGUUAUCCGGAUUUAUUGGGUUUAAAGGGAGCGUAGGCGGAUUGUUAAGUCAGUUGUGAAAGUUUGCGGCUCAACCGUAAAAUUGCAGUUGAUACUGGCAGUCUUGAGUGCAGUAGAGGUGGGCGGAAUUCGUGGUGUAGCGGUGAAAUGCUUAGAUAUCACGAAGAACUCCGAUUGCGAAGGCAGCUCACUGGAGU